rnacentral:rRNA from 1 species
CCGCAUGGCAGGCAGCUUUUGCUGGUCGCAGCCUUCUUAGAGGGACUAUCGGCUUCAAGCCGAUGGAAGUUUGAGGCAAUAACAGGUCUGUGAUGCCCUUAGAUGUUCUGGGCCGCACGCGCGCUACACUGGCAGAGCCAACGAGUUCAUAGCCUUGUUCGAAAGGACUGGGUAAUCUUGUUAAACUCUGCCGUGCUGGGGAUAGAGCAUUGCAAUUAUUGCUCUUCAACGAGGAAUUCCUAGUAAGCGCAAGUCAUCAGCUUGCGUUGACUACGUCCCUGCCCUUUGUACACACCGCCCGUCGCUACUACCGAUUGAAUGGCUAA